rnacentral:lncRNA from 1 species
AAUUUAGAUGAAAAAUAUUUUGUUACCCGCCUCGGUUUCGAAUAGGAGAGGAUACAAAUUUACCCGUAUUUCCCUCUGGUUAGCCACAAGUUCUUCACUUUCUUCUCUUCUUUUUUCUUUGAUCAGUGUUGCAGAGAGCUCAACAUGUCGAAAAGAAAAGAUGAUGGAAAAGACGAGAAUCUGAAACGCCCCAAGCAGCAGUUUUCUUUAGCCAUGAUUUUUUCGAGGAAGCCUUCCGCCGUGCGUAGUCGCCCUCCUGCACCUCCGUCUCCUCACAGCUUCUUCGCCGACAACCUCUGCCUCAUUGAUUCCGACGCCGCUGCUAAGGAUGACGAUGAUCAGUGUUGCAGAGAUCUAAACAUGUUGAAAAGAAAAGAUGCUGGAAAAGACGAGAAUCCGAAACGCCCCAAGAAGCAGUUGUCUUUUGCCAUGAUUUUUUCGAGGAAGCCUUCCGCCGUGCGUAGUCGCCCUCCUGCACCUCCGUCUCCUCAAAGCUUCGUCGCCGACAACUUCUGCCUCAUCGAUUCUGGUGGUGGUGCUGCUGAGGAUGACGAUGAUCCGACGGCGGUCACGUCGACCGCCGAAUCAGCCAGUCCGACAUUCUCCUUCUCGACUGAUUGCGCUUGUUCUCUGCCUCCCGUUUAUGGUGGCAAUUUCAUACUACCUGUUUAUGUCGGUGACGGUCCGGUGUCGCCUCAACCCACCCCCCCAAUCCGAUGAAGACUCUUUGGCUUCGCCUCCAGACAGCCCUCUCUCACCCGGCUAUGCUCCUCUUUCGCCGGAGCAUUACAUCCCAUGAGCUUUGGCAAUAUUGUUGAUUAAUUCAAUAAUCAGUACUGUUUAUGCCGUCAUCUAUAGAUUCAAUAACUCAGAAAGCAAGAAAGAAGGGUUAAUUGAGGAUGAUGUCGUAUAUAGUCUGUGUCGGUGAUGAUUGAGGAAAAACCCUCAUGAACCCAUGUAUUAUUCUUCUAUCAAUUUUAUUGUAACAGAUUGAGUGAAGUUGGAAUCAAUAUAGGAAAAUCAAUAAAAAUAUGGGAAAUAGCUGGUUGAUAAUUACGGUGUGUGGAUGAAUAAGAAUAUGAUGAACAGAGAUUUUUACUCUCCCAAAUCAUCCUCUUGACAUUUAAUCAAUUAGUAAUUUGAUUUGA